AAAAAGAGAACAACCGUGUGACGAAGCCCUAGCUCCGGUCGCCGCUCAACGGCACCGGAGGCGUAACUCUCCUCUCCUCUAUCUCUCCUUUUCCUUUGCCCUCAUCCCCUCUGUUAUAAACCUAGUUCGAUAUGUGCGGUUCUGUGAGCUGUUGAGACCCUUACCGGAGAUCCUCUGUGGUUGAUGGAGGCGGUUAUUGACUUCUUUUGGAGAGUCGGCGAGAACCAGGAGGCAGUCGGAGGCGAGGGUCGGCGUUUAGAACCUAGGGUUCUGUCAAGAUCAGAUUUUCCCUUUUGUAGAUCUUCGAUGGAGCCCCCUCGAUGACGGCGCGUGACAUUGGCGAGACGUCUCCUAGAUACCAGAUCUACCUUCCCCUGUGACGGUGAGAUGGCUGGAGAAGUAGUGUAAUGGGCGACGAAAAGAUGCGUUGGUUCUUCGGUGUACGAAGACGUUGCACUUCAAGGAAUCACGGCGAUGACGUUGUGAAACACGGCGGUACGGUCUCUGCAAUUCUUGUAGUCAUGAGCUGAAAUGCCUGUCUUGUUGUAGUUGUCAAGGUUCAUUUUUUAAUUCGGUCUGUGUGCUUGGCUUGGGUUUUGACCUAACUCACCUGUGGUGUUGACAUUGUUGGUACACGAGCUGUCUGUGUCUUAUGAGGAGACCAACAAUUGGAGAAGAUAUGUUAAUCGGUUAGUUGUGGCCUGUAUUUAGUCAGUGUGUAUCUAGAGAGUUUCGUGGUUUUCUUUAUGCCAGAGUGUGGUGUGAGUUUUUAAGGCCUGGUGAGAAUGGAUUUAGCAGAUUUUACUUCGUAUGGUGGCGGUUUCAGUGGUCGUUUGCAGAUUCAGUUCUUCUUCCGUAUGUCUGGAGGGGUCCGUUUGGCAAGGCUUCAUUUUGUUGAGAGUGUGUUUGGGCUUCUAUCAAGGAGUAAGUGGACGCUGGGUGCGUCGAAUCAGUAUCUGAAGGUGUGUGAAUCGUGUAGCGGUUCUUCCUGUCGGGUUAUGAAGUUGUAGGGUCUUGGUUCUUGGACGUUAUCGUGUGGCGGGCAUGAGCAGCAACGAUAAGUCGUGGUGUCUUAGGUGCAGGAGGUCGAGAUUAUCGUGUGGCGGGCUAUGGGCAGCAGCGACUAUUUCCGAUCAUUGGCCUCUACUAAGUCUUAAAAUUUGCUAAGUUAAUUCUCUUAUGGCUCUUGGGCAGUUGGUAGUCUGUUAUAGAUUAAGUUUCGGCUUGGAUCCUUUUGUUUUGUUUGCCGUAAGUUGCCCCGGUGUGGGUUCUAGUUGCCGUCUUCAUGUGGGCUUUUGUGUCUGGAGAUUGUUCAUGCAUCCGCCGGUUUAUGUAUUGAAUCAUGUAUGUUUCUUUUGAAUGAUAAGUACUUUUGCUGGAAA
rnacentral:lncRNA from 1 species